rnacentral:lncRNA from 13 species
AUGGACGUUUGGGGGAAAUUUACAUCCAACUGUGACUACGAACCUUUUGCCAGAAUAAUAUUAUCUGUUUCUCUGAAAAUGACAAUGGCUAUGGAUGUAAAGCAUGAUCUCAGAUUGCAGUCCCGAAAUCGAGAAGGUCCAUUUCAACACAUCUCCUGGCUACAGGGGCAAGUAAAUUCAUCUACCACAGACUGAAAUGUGAACAACUGCUUGAGUGUCACAAACAACCUGUGACACAGCCAAGGAGACGCUUCUCCAGGAAGCAACACAACUGCAUGUGCUCCGUGCCUCACACCUUUUGUGGACUUUCCGUUCUCGGUGGUAAUGGGGAGGAUGGGGGUGAACAAGGUGAGACCACACCAGAGGCUGUGUGAUUUGUGGGAGCUUUGAAUGCCUCUCUCUUUUUCUCCCAGGCCUCUUCAGUGAAAGUCCAUUUUAUGAUUUGCACAAACCAACAGUUUUGCAGGAGGGCAUGUCAACACCCUGAAUGGCUGAAACUGGCCCAGAAGCUAAAUUAGCUGGAAUUUAAUCUGUAAAAUGGAUUCAUGUAUACCUCACUGCAACAUAAAAGCAAAUCCAAGUUCACAUGGGGAGGUGGGAGAGGGCAAGGCAGAACCAGCAGAAGAAAAGGCUUAGGCUGAAAACACAUUUUGAAAACAAGGUGUUAGAUGAUUAGAUAUGGAGAAAAAAGCAAAUGGAGAAUCCGCAAACACAUAUGGGUUAACUCUACUCCAGCACACUGGGCUUGCUAGAAACAGACUCAGCUCAUACCUUCAAGGGUGCUGUGAUCAGUGGGAGAGCAGAUGUGCAAACAAUGAAAGGUAAGGGGGCUGGUGUCACCUGAGGAUGAGGACAUGGCUAAGCAGAGAUGGGAAAGAGCCCCUCUGAUUAGAGAGGCAGGGAAUCCAGGAGCCUGGCAUCAAGCCAAACCUGGGGCAUGAACAAGAUCUUAUUCAGCUGUGUCUGUUCACACAGGCACCAAGAUGGGUACCAGGGUGUAGAAGCCAAGGACAGUUGAUGUGGCAGAGGCCACUGAGGUGCUGAGUGGGAGCAGAGGGGAGGGGUGCUGGGAAUUGAGGUACCUUGGGGCUCUGAGAGCCUGGUUUUGACGGCGUUGGCUCUGUAUCUCAUUCUGUGGGUUACAACUCAAACCAAGUGGUAUCUCCUUUACAAAUGUGGCCAGAUUUCUGAUGGC